rnacentral:rRNA from 1 species
CCUACGGUGGACAGCAGUGAGGAAUCUUGGUCAAUGGGCUUACGCCUGAACCAGCGAAGUCGCGUGAGGGAAGACUGCCCUAUGGGUUGUAAACCUCUUUUGUCAGGGAGCAACGCCGGCUACGUGUAGCCGGACUGAGAGUACCUGAAGACAAAGCAUCGGCUAACUCCGUUCCAGCAGCCGCGGUAAUACGGUGGAUGCGAGCGUUAUCCGGAUUUAUUGGGUUUAAUGGGUGCGUAGGCGGAUUGCCAAGUCAGCGGUAAAAGCGCGGGGCUCAACCUCGCUCCGCCGUUGAAACUGGCGGUCUGGAGUGGGCGAGAAGUAUGCGGAAUGCGUGGUGUAGCGGUGAAAUGCAUAGAUAUCACGCAGAACUCCGAUUGCGAAGGCAGCAUACCGGCGCCCAACUGACGCUGAAGCACGAAAGCGUGGGUAGCGAACAGGAUUAGAUACCCUUGUAGUC